AGAAACACAGGAUCAGCAACAUCAAUCGUACAGCUUUCCUCGGACCCAGAGUCUCCUCCUCCAUCUCCAAUGGUAGAACCCGUAUAGGCUUCAUCCAUGAGUGCAAGUAGGAUCCGUAUCAUAUAAGGGAGCUUUACCAUUUGCACUACUUAAGGAGCUUUUACUUAAAAUAUACAAUUUAUAAAGUCCCACAUAUAACCUUAGGAGCCACACUCUUCUGGAUAGAAGCUAUACGCUUC
rnacentral:lncRNA from 1 species